GUUCGUUGAAAUGGUUGAAAAUGAAAGAUAUGAGAAAUUAAACAAUUCUGUAUUGCAAAUUACAAUAUUACGCAAACACUUCGCACGACGAGAAGAAGUAAGGGAAAGAGAGUUCAAAUGUCAAAUCACUGUCUUAUAUACCUAACGUUCUGUCACAUCACUGAUUGUCUAUUGCACUCACAGUUUAUAAACACUUCACACCGAUGACUGAUAAAUUAAAUGCGGACCACACGAUGUGAACCAAGAGUUGCAACGCAAGAUGUGAGACGUU
rnacentral:misc_RNA from 1 species